GACGAACGCUGGCGGCGUGCUUAACACAUGCAAGUCGAGCGGAAAGGCCACUUCGGUGGUACUCGAGCGGCGAACGGGUGAGUAACACGUGAGUAAUCUGCCCCUCACUUUGGGAUAACCCCCGGAAACGGGAGCUAAUACCGGAUACGACCGGCAACCGCAUGGUUUGUUGGUGGAAACUUUUUUGGGUGGGGGAUGUGCUCGCGGCCUAUCAGCUUGUUGGUGGGGUGAUGGCCUACCAAGGCUUUGACGGGUAGCCGGCCUGAGAGGGUGACCGGCCACACUGGGACUGAGACACGGCCCAGACUCCUACGGGAGGCAGCAGUGGGGAAUAUUGGACAAUGGGCGGAAGCCUGAUCCAGCAACGCCGCGUGAGGGAUGACGGCCUUCGGGUUGUAAACCUCUUUCAGCACCGACGAAGCGCAAGUGACGGUAGGUGCAGAAGAAGGACCGGCCAACUACGUGCCAGCCGCCGCAGUAAGAC
rnacentral:rRNA from 1 species